rnacentral:rRNA from 1 species
GAUGAACGCUGGCGGCGUGCCUAAUACAUGCAAGUCGAGCGAACAGACGAGGAGCUUGCUCCUCUGACGUUAGCGGCGGACGGGUGAGUAACACGUGGAUAACCUACCUAUAAGACUGGGAUAACUUCGGGAAACCGGAGCUAAUACCGGAUAAUAUAUUGAACCGCAUGGUUCAAUAAUGAAAGACGGUUUUGCUGUCACUUAUAGAUGGAUCCGCGCCGCAUUAGCUAGUUGGUAAGGUAACGGCUUACCAAGGCAACGAUGCGUAGCCGACCUGAGAGGGUGGUCGGCCACACUGGAACUGAGACACGGUCCAGACUCCUACGGGAGGCAGCAGUAGGGAAUCUGCCGCAAUGGGCGAAAGCCUGACGGAGCAACGCCGCGUGAGUGAUGAAGGUCUUCGGAUCGUAAAACUCUGUUAUUAGGGAAGAACAAAUGUGUAAGUAACUAUGCACGUCUUGACGGUACCUAAUCAGAAAGCCACGGCUAACUACGUG